rnacentral:tRNA from 1 species
UGGACAGGAAGCAAAAAUUCAUUUUGUGCUGAAUUGUAGCUUCAGUUUAGGGAAAAUCCCCUUGUUCAU